rnacentral:lncRNA from 1 species
UUAAACUUAGGGCAUCUUUUGUGCCAGAAAAAAAGAAAGUUGUGGAAGGCCAGGGGGAUCUUCUCAAAAGUACAGAGAGCCAACGUGACAGGCCACCACUGGGAUAAAAGGGGACAGCUUGAGCGUGAAAAUACAGUGACCCCAGUAGUUGAAACAUAUCAGGUAUAUAAAAUACAUAGUUCUUCAUGAAAAAAAAAAAAAAGGAAAGCAUAAGAGAACUCUUCCUGGAAUGCAUGAAGCAGCAGUGUUAGGUCAUUGCCGUGGAAUACAAAUCCUGACACCAUUUCUAAAUGCCACUAUGUUCAUUCACCCUGGAAUAGAACCCCUUGCCUUUGGCUCUUUCAGUCAAGGGAACGGUUUCUGGGGAGCAUCUUUUGUGAGGUCUGUCCUUAGCUUGCCAGCAGGGCUGCACUUGGAUGCUCUGUGUCACAUCCAGCUCUCUGACUCUUAUUGUUCUUGUCGUGGCGCUUAAUUAAGCAAAAUCCUGGCAUAAACAAUAUAGUCAUGGAAUGCCGGGGAUAAUAAAAAGGGCAUGUUGAGAAGCAGCAGGCAUUUACUGGAAAGUUUAAAAUAUGAUUCUUAUGAGAUCUUCCAAAGUCAGAGAUUUCCUAAGAGUUAUUUUGAAUCACCUGAGUCGCUUCUUAUCCCUAGUAAGUGCUAUUGGUGACAAGCUGGUGGUAAAUCAUUGUGUUUUGAAGACACCAUAUGGAUGUCUCUCUGCCUUUGGUCACCACUCACAUCCCACUUUAAACUCUUUUUUUUCUGCCUUUUAGGGCCACGCCUACAGCAUAUGGAGGUUCCCAGGCUAGGUGGUAGAAUCCGAGCUGCACCUGACGCCUACACCACAGCUCACAGCAACGCGAGGUCCUUAACCCACUGAGUGAGGCCAGGAUACUAGUUGGGUUCCUAACCCUCUGAGCCACUAUAGGAACUCCCCCUGCUUUAAACUCUUAAAUGGGAGUUUCCUAGUGGCUCAGCAGUUCAAGGAUUUGGCAUUGUCACUUCCGUGGUUCUGGUCACUGCUGUGACUUGGGCUCGAUUUCUGGCCUGGGAAUUUCCACUUGCCUUGGGUGUCCCCCCCCCCCACAAAAAAAAAACCCUUACAGUAGCUUUGUACUGAUCUUUCUCCUUGCUAGUCUCAUCUUCCUCAAAUCCAUCUUCAAACUGUAGUUUGGCCAGUGGUUAUCAUAAACCAUCACUUCAUGCCUCUAUCAUACAAUGAUUGUAUUGUAAUGAAAUUACUCUUUUGCUGUGUCUGUCCCCCUAAUAGACUGAUCUCCUUGAGGCAGGGAGCUGCCCUUUUGUCUUGAAUUCUUAGUGUCCAGUGUCACCCAACUGGUGUGGGCGCUAAAUAUUACAAGUCAUUUCCCAGACCCUUCAUACCAUCAAUGCUCCCCUUUACAUAAGAGGGGAAAGAAACAUUCAGACCUACUUUUUGCUCUGAAUCUGAGUUGGAGGUUGGGUUGGCAGCAUUUGAAAGCAGAACUUAUUAGAUCUUCAGAGAACUUAUAAUGGCUUUGUCAACAGAUGCUCUUGGAAGGGUUGGGGGGAAAAAAUGCUCAAGCAAAAGAUGAAAGCUAUCAAGAUUCCUCAGGCUUAAAAUCUGUUUAUCACCCUCUGACUCACUUGAAAAGGAGAGUGGGGCAUUUGCCAGUAUUUGAUCACCGGUCUUUUCUCAAUUGUUAUAUCUGCUAUUAUUUUAACAUCUAGGAUUAAGGACUUAUUUAGCCCUUGAGAUGCUAGGUAAUGCCUCUUAACCACAACUGCAAAACAGGCAUCUGCCCCCAGCUGAGUCUUCACCUCACAUUACCUAAGGAACCCUUGUCAUCCCUGAGGAAAGGCUGGGUUACAGCAGGGAUCCCCACAUUGUCAUGCAUCAGAAUCACCUGUAGGCUUAUAAAGCACGGAUAACCUGGGCCCCAACCCUCCUUCCAGCCUGAGUCUCUGAAUGCCGAGGUCUGGGUUAAGGCUUAAGAAUCUGUAUUUCUGGAGUUCCCAUUGUAGCCCAAUGAUUAACGAACCUGACUAGCAUCCAUGCGGACUCAGGUUCAAUCCCUGACCUCGCUCAGUGGGUUAAGGAUCUAGUGUUGCCUUGAGCUGUGGUGUAGGUCGCAGACGCAGCUCAGAUCCCCCGUUGCUGUGACUCUGGUGUAGGCUGGUGGCUAAAGCUCUGAUUUGACCCCUAGCCUGGGAACCUCCAUAUGCCGUAGGUGUGGCCCUAAAAGACAAAAAAAAAGGGGGGGGGAAUCUGCAUUUUUAACAGGUUCCUGCAGAGGCUGCAGCUGCCAGUCCAGAAACCACACUCUGAGAAACAUGGGGUACGGGGUAUGAGGCUUCUCUAAUUUCAGUGUCCCUGUGAAUUACCUGGGCAUGAGGUUCAUAUGCAGCUUUUGCUUCAUUGGGUCUGGGCUGGGGGGUCAAGGUUCUAUAUUUCUAAGAAGAAUCCAAAUUGCUAUUGGUCUUGGACCACUUUUAAGUUCUCUUCUCUGGCUGAUUAUUAGAAUCUUCUGAAAGGUUUACAAAAUAGUGCUGCCCAGAAAUUCCACAAGAUUCUGCUCUAAUGGGCCUGCAUAGGGGCCCAGAAAUCUGUAUUUUUAAUGAGCCACCCCAGAUAGUUCUAUUACAGAUGAUCCAUGGUCCACAUUGGAAGAGAAACUGGUCUAGAAAGGACAAAUUCAUUUGUGGAAUGUUUCUAUCAAUGCGGCUGUCUAAAAAUAUAUACACUACUUGUAGAAUAUAUUUAAAAGACUAUUACAUUUCAUUGUUCCUAAGGUGCCCUUUUUCAUAUUUUGAUAUCCGUAAAAUUGGAAGACCUCUCACCACCAGUGGGGCUUACAGCAGUAUUGGCAGCAUUUUAUUUCUCUCUGGUACCUAAGGUGACUGAUAGAUAAAAUACAGAGGUCCUUACUCUAUGAAAUUCAGCAUAUUAACUUUAAAUGAUUUGAAGAAACACAAAUAAACAGGGCUUAUUCACAAUAUAUCAGUACUUUUGGGGACUAAUUCGAUUUUCAUCACAUGAGAAGUUUUUAAAAUACAUCAAAAGUGUUUGCACUUUCCCUUCCCUUUCCACGGAAGAGGGUAUCUGUUGUGUGAGGAACAGGAGUGAAGUGUGGAGAGGCGAUGUAGGAAGAGAAAAAGGCCAAAACACCCUCAGAGGGCCCUGGACCAAGAUGGAAGUGAGAUCGAAGCUGGCCAGAGGCGACAAGAAGGGCUGGUUUGGGACGAGGAGUCUGAGUGUGAGCCUGGGAACCCGUCCCACCCCUGAGCCACAUCUCCAGAAACCCAUGUUCCUUCCCAAUUCUUUAAACUUAAUGUGUGUGAGAGAUAAGGUGGCCUGAAAUAGUCAGAUCACCUGGACAUUAAAAGUAGCGUUUGUUUGCUCUCCUUUCUCUUUGAGGGUAGGCAGGCUCCCUGGACAUACAUCUCCUUUAACUUAGGGCUUCAAAAAAUUAAUUCUGCAUCUUUACAAUGGCAUUUCCAAAGAGUGUGUAAAAUGUUUAUGGACAUGAAGGAGAAAAAUCACAUGCGUAGAUGAUGGAUGGAUGGAUAAAUAAAUAGAAAGAAAAUCUAUAGGUGAUAUACAGAUAGAUGAUUAAAUGAUAGAUUUCUAAUGUUAAGGAAGAGAAGACCUAU